rnacentral:rRNA from 1 species
AUUGAACGCUGGCGGCAGGCCUAACACAUGCAAGUCGAGCGGAGCUGCCGACGGGUGAGUAAUGCCUAGGAAUCUACCUGGUCGUGGGGGAUGACGUCCGGAAAGGGGCGCUAAUAACACAUACUAUCAGAUGGGCCUAGGUCGGAUUAGCUAGUUGGUGGGGUAAAGGCUUACCAAGGCAACGCUACGUAACUGGGCUGAGAGGAUGAUCAGUCACACUGGAACUGAGACACGGUCCAGACUCCUACGGGAGGCAGCAGUGGGGAAUAGUGGACAAUGGGCGAAAGCCUGACCCAGCCACGCCGCGUGUAUGAAGAAGGUCUUCGUAUCGUAAAGCUCUGUAAUUUGGGAAGCGGUACCAACAGAAUAAGCACCGGCUAACUUCGUGCCAGCAGCCGCGGUAAUAC